CGUGAGGGAUGACGGCCUUCGGGUUGUAAACCUCUUUCAGUAGGGAAGAAGCGAAAGUGACGGUACCUGCAGAAGAAGCACCGGCUAACUACGUGCCAGCAGCCGCGGUAAUACGUAGGGUGCGAGCGUUAUCCGGAAUUAUUGGGCGUAAAGAGCUCGUAGGCGGUUUGUCGCGUCUGUCGUGAAAGUCCGGGGCUUAACCCCGGAUCUGCGGUGGGUACGGGCAGACUAGAGUGCAGUAGGGGAGACUGGAAUUCCUGGUGUAGCGGUGGAAUGCGCAGAUAUCAGGAGGAACACCGAUGGCGAAGGCAGGUCUCUGGGCUGUAACUGACGCUGAGGAGCGAAAGCAUGGGGAGCGAACAGGAUUAGAUACCCUGGUAGUCCAUGCCGUAAACGUUGGGCACUAGGUGUGGGGACCAUUCCACGGUUUCCGCGCCGCAGCUAACGCAUUAAGUGCCCCGCCUGGGGAGUACGGCCGCAAGGCUAAAACUCAAAGGAAUUGACGGGGGCCCGCACAAGCGGCGGAGCAUGCGGAUUAAUUCGAUGCAACGCGAAGAACCUUACCAAGGCUUGACAUGUUCUCGAUCGCCGUAGAGAUACGGUUUCCCCUUUGGGGCGGGUUCACAGGUGGUGCAUGGUUGUCGUCAGCUCGUGUCGUGAGAUGUUGGGUUAAGUCCCGCAACGAGCGCAACCCUCGUUCCAUGUUGCCAGCACGUCGUGGUGGGGACUCAUGGGAGACUGCCGGGGUCAACUCGGAGGAAGGUGAGGACGACGUCAAAUCAUCAUGCCCCUUAUGUCUUGGGCUUCACGCAUGCUACAAUGGCCGGUACAAUGGGUUGCGAUACUGUGAGGUGGAGCUAAUCCCAAAAAGCCGGUCUCAGUUCGGAUUGGGGUCUGCAACUCGACCCCAUGAAGUCGGAGUCGCUAGUAAUCGCAGAUCAGCAACGCUGCGGUGAAUACGUUCCCGGGCCUUGUACACACCGCCCGUCAA
rnacentral:rRNA from 1 species